rnacentral:misc_RNA from 1 species
UACUUUAAACCUUGAAUUUAUUUUUUAAAUGUUUAUAUUAUUUGAAUAAAACAUUCAAAUAAUAUAAAAAAUAAUAUAUAUAUUGACAUGGAUUAAACAAAGAUAUAUAUUAUUCUAUGUUGUAUAAACAAAUUGGCAAAAUAGAGAUGGAAGAUAAAAAUAUGGUCAAAGUAAUAAGAGUCUAUGGUGGAUGCCUAGGAGCUUUAAGGCGAAGAAGGUCGUGGUAAGCUGCGAAAAGCUUGGGGG